rnacentral:rRNA from 1 species
UUUCCCUCAGGAUAGCUGGUGCAUUUAAAUAUUAUGUAAAAUAAUCUUAUCUGGUAAAGCGAAUGAUUAGAGGCCUUAGGGUCGAAACGACCUUAACCUAUUCUCAAACUUUAAAUGGGUAAGAACCUCACCUUUCUUGGUAUGAAGGUUGUGGUUGUGAUAUAAUGUGCCCAGUGGGCCACUUUUGGUAAGCAGAACUGGCGCUGUGGGAUGAACCAAACGUAAUGUUACGGUGCCCAAAUUAACAACUCAUGCAGAUACCAUGAAAGGCGUUGGUUGCUUAAAACAGCA